UCAUUCGACCUGUGAAAGCACCAAGUUCAAUGGAGGUGCAACUGGAGGAAGAUUCGACCAGCUCGUUUUGCGUAGACGUCGUGUUUUUAACAAAUGAAAGAAUUACUUCAGGCAACAAAAUAAUCUCGGCUGGAGUCUUGAACGCAACAGGAUCAAAUAUAUUUGAUAAAACAGUUCAAUCAGCGGGUAAUUAUUUGAAAUGGACCACGGUCAGAUUUGGAGCAGGUCAUAUCACACCGAAAAAGGGUUGGAAAAUCAAAUUGACUGCACAUGAUAAAUCACUUGUCAUUGGAGGCGUGAAAUUCUGCAAAGAAGGAGACUUGGUCACUAAGACUAAAAUGAGGAAUGUGGCUAACUGCUAUCCAUUAGUGAAACGACCGGAAAACAAGGCUCCAGACAAAUACAAUCAACUUCUCAAUCAGCUCGGUAAAUGCAAGGCAUUCGGAGGAUAUUGUGACGGAUACAAAUUGUGCUACACUCAACAUGAUUGUAAAUGCUUUGCUGGAUAUCAAGGAAGAACCUGCAAUAG